AAGAUUGUAGUUUAAUUGAUCAAAACAUCGCCCUGUCAAGGCAAAAGUUGUGGGUUUGAGCCCCAUCAGUCUCU
rnacentral:tRNA from 1 species